CCUGGCUCACGAUGAACGCUAGCUACAGGCUUAACACAUGCAAGUCGAGGGGCAGCAUGGUCUUAGCUUGCUAAGGCCGAUGGCGACCGGCGCACGGGUGAGUAACACGUAUCCAACCUGCCGUCUACUCUUGGACAGCCUUCUGAAAGGAAGAUUAAUACAAGAUGGCAUCAUGAGUCCGCAUGUUCACAUGAUUAAAGGUAUUCCGGUAGACGAUGGGGAUGCGUUCCAUUAGAUAGUAGGCGGGGUAACGGCCCACCUAGUCUUCGAUGGAUAGGGGUUCUGAGAGGAAGGUCCCCCACAUUGGAACUGAGACACGGUCCAAACUCCUACGGGAGGCAGCAGUGAGGAAUAUUGGUCAAUGGGCGAGAGCCUGAACCAGCCAAGUAGCGUGAAGGAUGACUGCCCUAUGGGUUGUAAACUUCUUUUAUAAAGGAAUAAAGUCGGGUAUGGAUACCCGUUUGCAUGUACUUUAUGAAUAAGGAUCGGCUAACUCCGUGCCAGCAGCCGCGGUAAUACGGAGGAUCCGAGCGUUAUCCGGAUUUAUUGGGUUUAAAGGGAGCGUAGAUGGAUGUUUAAGUCAGUUGUGAAAGUUUGCGGCUCAACCGUAAAAUUGCAGUUGAUACUGGAUAUCUUGAGUGCAGUUGAGGCAGGCGGAAUUCGUGGUGUAGCGGUGAAAUGCUUAGAUAUCACGAAGAACUCCGAUUGCGAAGGCAGCCUGCUAAGCUGCAACUGACAUUGAGGCUCGAAAGUGUGGGUAUCAAACAGGAAUAGAUACCCUGGUAGUCCACACGGUAAACGAUGAAUACUCGCUGUUUGCGAUAUACAGCAAGCGGCCAAGCGAAAGCGUUAAGUAUUCCACCUGGGGAGUACGCCGGCAACGGUGAAACUCAAAGGAAUUGACGGGGGCCCGCACAAGCGGAGGAACAUGUGGUUUAAUUCGAUGAUACGCGAGGAACCUUACCCGGGCUUAAAUUGCAGAUGAAUUACGGUGAAAGCCGUAAGCCGCAAGGCAUCUGUGAAGGUGCUGCAUGGUUGUCGUCAGCUCGUGCCGUGAGGUGUCGGCUUAAGUGCCAUAACGAGCGCAACCCUUGUUGUCAGUUACUAACAGGUUCCGCUGAGGACUCUGACAAGACUGCCAUCGUAAGAUGUGAGGAAGGUGGGGAUGACGUCAAAUCAGCACGGCCCUUACGUCCGGGGCUACACACGUGUUACAAUGGGGGGUACAGAGGGCCGCUACCACGCGAGUGGAUGCCAAUCCCCAAAACCUCUCUCAGUUCGGACUGGAGUCUGCAACCCGACUCCACGAAGCUGGAUUCGCUAGUAAUCGCGCAUCAGCCACGGCGCGGUGAAUACGUUCCCGGGCCU
rnacentral:rRNA from 1 species